UGAGGAAUAUUGGUCAAUGGGCGAGAGCCUGAACCAGCCAUGCCGCGUGAAGGAUGACGGCCUUCUGGGUUGUAAACUUCUUUUAUAUGGGAAGAAAACUAUUGUUUCUACGAUAGCCGACGGUACCAUAGGAAUAAGCACCGGCUAACUCCGUGCCAGCAGCCGCGGUAAUACGGAGGGUGCAAGCGUUAUCCGGAUUUACUGGGUUUAAAGGGUGUGUAGGCGGGCUAUUAAGUCAGUGGUGAAAUCUCCGAGCUUAACUUGGAAACUGCCAUUGAUACUAUUAGUCUUGAAUUCUGUUGAGGUAGGCGGAAUAAGUCAUGUAGCGGUGAAAUGCAUAGAUAUGACUUAGAACACCGAUUGCGAAGGCAGCUUGCUAAACAGAUAUUGACGCUGAGGCACGAAAGCGUGGGGAUCAAACAGGAUUAGAUACCCCCGUAGUCC
rnacentral:rRNA from 1 species